rnacentral:lncRNA from 1 species
AAGAUACUUUUCUACCAUCAGUACCUCGUCCUCCAGUCAAUAUGGCCAGAACUGAAUCUAGGCUCCAAUCAUGGCCAGUAUGUGGCAUAUGUGGGAAGCAGCACCCUGGCAGAUACAGAAUGGGUCAGGGAGUGUGCUACAGAUGUGGACAGCCGGGUCAUUUUGCCAGAGAAUGCCCGCAGGGUGCCACCCAGCAGUUGGUGCCCUUAGCAUCCUACCCUUCUGUGCAGAUGGACAGGCCUAGUAGUAGGGGGCCUGUAGGCAGAGGUAGAGGUCAGACACCAGCGUCACAGUAGAGUGCUGG